rnacentral:rRNA from 1 species
UCGCACCUACCGAUUGAACGUUCCGGUGAGACCUUGGGAUUCUGUUUUUGGCCGUUUAUUCGGGUAUUGACGGGAGAACUUGAGCAAACCUUAACGUUUAGAGGAAGGUG